UACGUAGGGCGCAAGCGUUAUCCGGAAUUACUGGGCGUAAAGCGUGCGCAGGCGGUUUCGUAAGUCUGUCGUGAAAUCCCCGGGCUUAACCUGGGAAUGGCGAUGGAGACUGCGAGGCUAGAGUUUGGCAGAGGGGGGGUAGAAUUCCACGUGUAGCAGUGAAAUGCGUAGAGAUGUGGAGGAACACCGAUGGCGAAGGCAGCCCCCUGGGUCAAAACUGACGCUCAUGCACGAAAGCGUGGGGAGCAAACAGG
rnacentral:rRNA from 1 species